rnacentral:lncRNA from 1 species
CUGUAGAACAAGGAAGAGCAGUUGAAGUAUUAGAAGUCAGGCAUCCACCUGGAGAACAAGGAAGAGCAGUUGAAGUAUCAGAAGUCAGGCGUCCACCUGGAGAAUAAGGAAGAGCAGUUGAAGUAUUAGCAAUCAGGCGUCCACCUGGAGAACAAGGAAGAGCAAUUGAAGUAUUAGCAAUCAGGCGUCCACCUGGAGAAUAAGGAAUAGCAGUUGAAGUAUUAGAAGUCAGGCGUCCACCUGGAGAACAAGGAAGAGCAGUUGAAGUAUUAGCAAUCAAGCGUCCACCUGGAGAAUAAGGAAGAGCAGUUGAAGUAUUAGAAGUCAGGCGUCCACCUGUAGAACAAGGAAGAGCAGUUGAAGUAUUAGAAGUCAGGCAUCCACCUGGAGAAUAAGGAAGAGCAGUUGAAGUAUUAGAAGUCAGGCGUCCACCUGGAGAACAAGGAAGAGCAGUUGAAGUAUUAGCAAUCAGGCGUCCACCUGGAGAAUAAGGAAGAGCAGGGGAAGUAUUAGCAAUAAGGCAUCCACCUG